rnacentral:rRNA from 1 species
GAGUAACACGUGGGUGAUCUGCCCUGCACUUCGGGAUAAGCCUGGGAAACUGGGUCUAAUACCGGAUAUGACCUUGGGAUGCAUGUCUCUUGGUGGAAAGCUUUUGCGGUGUGGGAUGGGCCCGCGGCCUAUCAGCUUGUUGGUGGGGUUAAGGCCUACCAAGGCGACGACGGGUAGCCGGCCUGAGAGGGUGACCGGCCACACUGGGACUGAGAUACGGCCCAGACUCCUACGGGAGGCAGCAGUGGGGAAUAUUGCACAAUGGGCGCAAGCCUGAUGCAGCGACGCCGCGUGAGGGACGACGGCCUUCGGGUUGUAAACCUCUUUCAGCACAGACGAAGCGCGAGUGACGGUAUGUGCAGAAGAAGGACCGGCCAACUACGUGCCAGCAGCCGCGGUAAUACGUAGGGUCCGAGCGUUGUCCGGAAUUACUGGGCGUAAAGAGCUCGUAGGUGGUUUGUCGCGUUGUUCGUGAAAACUCACAGCUCAACUGUGGGCGUGCGGGCGAUACGGGCAGACUAGAGUACUGCAGGGGAGACUGGAAUUCCUGGUGUAGCGGUGGAAUGCGCAGAUAUCAGGAGGAACACCGGUGGCGAAGGCGGGUCUCUGGGCAGUAACUGACGCUGAGGAGCGAAAGCGUG